CUCGAAAGUUUAAGGGUCAACGUGCUAUGCAAAGAAUAGAUAAGAUUCAAGAAAAAAUUAAUAGUCAUGAUUUUUGGGGAAGGAAGGUUUGGUUUCAUUAAGAGAUAUAAGAAAAAACUGCUAAAACUGGAGGUGAACUCUGGAAAGGUGGAUGUAUACUACCAAAGAAAUAUCAACUAUAUGAUAUCUGGUUAUAAAUUCUUAUGAGUACAAAACUGUGAUUAAAAUAUUCCACAUUUUCUACUAAUGAGGCAAAAGUACUGGGAAAAAAGUUUCAUGAGAGAUAGGGGAGUGUUUUGAAGGCUUGUAAGAAAAAAAAAACCUGCUCUCAUUUCCAAGACAAGUCUUGCUAUGAAGUCUCAGGAAUCAGUUUGGCAAUAAGAAGAAAACAUUCAGCUGAAGGAUGUCUAAAU